CGCCUAAGGAUUACAUGCACAUAUAGCCAAAAAAGGUGAGUUUAUGACAACUCAGUGUGUAAUCUACAUUUAUCAAACAGUCAAACAUAUAGUGUUGAACAGUCUGGGCCUAAGCCCAUAUUAGUGGAAAUAUCUAUGUGGGCCUUAGCCCAUUACAGUUGCAGUAUCAGUAUGAGCCUUAGCCCAAUUCAAUACAGUAUCAGAAAUGCAUACAGAUAUGCUAUCCAUC
rnacentral:lncRNA from 1 species